GGCCCAGUGGUGUACUGCAAACACAUCCUCUUCGAUUGGGAUCUUAAGGCUUUGAAUAUAUGAGGAAGCACCCCGUUCGACUCGGGGCUGGGCCA